rnacentral:rRNA from 1 species
GACGAACGCUGGCGGCGUGCUUAACACAUGCAAGUCGAGCGGUAAGGCCCUUUCGGGGGUACGACGAGCGGCGAACGGGUGAGUAACACGUGGGUGACCUGCCCUCAGCUCUGGGAUAAGCCUGGGAAACUGGGUCUAAUACCGGAUAUGACUCCAUGACGCAUGUUGUGGGGUGGAAAGCCUUGUGCGGCUGAGGAUGGGCCCGCGGCCUAUCAGCUUGUUGGUGGGGUGANGGCCUACCGAGGCGACGACUGGUAGCCGGCCUGAGAGGGCGACCGGCCACACUGGGACUGAGACACGGCCCAGACUCCUACGGGAGGCAGCAGUGGGGAAUCUUGCGCAAUGGGCGAAAGCCUGACGCAGCGACGCCGCGUGAGGGAUGACGGCCU